AUUGAACGCUGGCGGCAGGCCUAACACAUGCAAGUCGAGCGAGCGGCGGACGGGUGAGUAAUGUCUGGGAAACUGCCUGAUGGAGGGGGAUAACUACUGGAAACGGUAGCUAAUACCGCAUACCCUCAGAUGUGCCCAGAUUGGAUUAGCUAGUAGGUGGGGUAACGGCUCACCUAGGCGACGCUCCCUAGCUGGUCUGAGAGGCGGACCAGCCACACUGGAACUGAGACACGGUCCAGACUCCGACGGGAGGCAGCAGUGGGGAAUAUUGCACAAUGGGCGCAAGCCUGAUGCAGCCAUGCCGCGUGUGUGAAGAAGGCCUUCGGGUUGUAAAGCACUUUCAGCGGGGAGGCGUUACCCGCAGAAGAAGCACCGGCUAACUCCGUGCCAGCAGCCGCGGUAAUAC
rnacentral:rRNA from 1 species